CGGGGUGCGCAGGCGCGAAAACUUUACAAUGCUGGAAACAGCGAUAAGGGGACCUCGAGUGCCAGGUUACAAAUCUGGCUGUCGUGAUGCCUAAAAAGCAUUGCAUAGCAAGGGCCGGGCAAGACCGGUGCCAGCCGCCGCGGUAACACCGGCGGCUCGAGUGGUAACCGUUAUUAUUGGGUCUAAAGGGUCUGUAGCCGGCCGGAUAAGUCUCUUGGGAAAUCCAGCAGCUCAACUGUUGGGCUUUCAGGAGAUACUGUCUGGCUCGAGGCCGGGAGAGGUGAGAGGUACUUCAGGGGUAGGGGUGAAAUCUUGUAAUCCUUGAAGGACCACCAGUGGCGAAGGCGUCUCACCAGAACGGACCUGACGGCAAGGGACGAAAGCUAGGGGCACGAACCGGAUUAGAUACCCGGGUAGUCCUAGCCGUAAACGAUACUCGCUAGGUGUCGGCCACGGUGCGACCGUUGUCGGUGCCGUAGGGAAGCCGUGAAGCGAGCCACCUGGGAAGUACGGCCGCAAGGCUGAAACUUAAAGGAAUUGGCGGGGGAGCAC
rnacentral:rRNA from 1 species